ensembl:lncRNA
AAUUUACCAGGAGAAAAUACGACAGGGAGAGGAAGGAGAAUUUCUCAUCUGGGUUUGGAAGCAGAAGAGGAGGCAACAGAACACUAAAGGAAUGUUCCUCAAGCCAUGUUGCAGAAGCUGCAACUCUUGAAACUUACCUGCUACCCUUCUGGCCCAGAGCCAGUUCAUCACUAAAUCUACACUGUGUUGUGUUUCUCUGUACUCCAGCCAGCCUCCUAUUUCAGACUUUGACACAAAUGACAGAGUGCUGAUAGUGAAGCCACAAAAUGUUAAGAUGAGGUCACUUGGAAAGGGGCGGAGGAAGAAAGUACAGGAUUUCUUGGUUAAGUAAGCAGAGACUCAGUUGCUGAAGAACCAAUAGGAAGAUUCCUUGCAGCCACUAUAUGACAAGCCACCGUCUUCACAAUCGCUAAAAUGACUUCUAGUCAUUUUAGAAGGACCACUUUUUGUCUUCUGGUAGGUAGGCAGUUGGGGAAUCUGCUUUACUGUUCACUCACUUAUUUCUUUAUCCAUCUGUCCCCAUACUAAUUAAUUCAAACAGACAUUUAAGAGCAAUUUUCACAGAGAACUUUACCCAGUGUUCUGUGAUAAUCUACAUGCGAAAAGAAUCUGAAAAAGAAUGGGUGUGUGUAUAACUGAAUCACUUUGUUGUAUAGCAGAAAUUAUCAGAACAUUGUAAAUCAACUAUACUUCAAUAAAACUUUUCU